AGCUCAGUUGGUUAGAGCGCGCGCUUGAUAAGCGUGAGGUCGGAGGUUCAAGUCUUCCCAGGCCCACCAAUCACUCUAUCAAUCUAUAAGCGCUUGUGAAACUUGCUCAUAGAAAACUUUCUUUAUUCAUUUGUGAAAAAUUCCUUAUAGAGAGAUAUGCUUUUCCCCUUGGGUUUUAAAACCCAAAAUUAAAGGCGUUAAAGUGCCUUUAAAGGCAAAGUGAUAAAAGAUAAGGAUUGAAGGAAUAACAAUUUGAGAGCCCCCUUUUGGGUGCUCUUGAAUUUGAGCGUUUUGAAUGCGUUAUAUUUUUAGGGGGCCGUAGCUCAGCUGGGAGAGCACCUGCUUUGCAAGCAGGGGGUCGUCGGUUCGAUCCCGUCCGGCUCCACC
rnacentral:misc_RNA from 1 species